CAACGUACCACUUUAAAGCUGCCAGCGGACUUACGCCGUUUAGCACUCCGUUUACGAGUGAACAAUGGAAGCUCCUCCAACUUUCCAUUGUUAAAACGUAAACGGAGAGCUAAACGGAGUAAGUCCGCUGGCAGCUUAAAUGAAGAAAAAUUCAUAAAU